rnacentral:rRNA from 1 species
GACGAACCACCCAAACGUUAUUCGGAAUCACUGGGCUUAAAGAGUGCGUAGGCGGUCAUGUAAGUAGGGUGUGAAAUCCCACAGCUCAACUGUGGAACUGCGCUCUAAACUACAUGACUAGAGGGAUAUAGAGGUGAGCAGAACUGAUGGUGGAGCGGUGAAAUGCGUUGAUAUCGGGAGGAACACCAGUGGCGAAAGCGCACUUCUGGGCCAAUACUGACGCUAAGGGACGAAAGCCAGGGUAGCGAAAGGG